GUGUCAGCAGCCGCGGUAAUACGUAGGGGGCGAGCGUUGUCCGGAUUUAUUGGGCGUAAAGAGCUCGUAGGCGGCUCGGUAAGUCGGCCGUGAAAUCCCGGAGCUCAACUCCGGGGGGCCGGUCGAUACUGCCGUGGCUAGGGUCCGGUAGAGGAGAGUGGAAUUCCCGGUGUAGCGGUGAAAUGCGCAGAUAUCGGGAGGAACACCCGUAGCGAAGGCGGCUCUCUGGGCCGGUACCGACGCUGAGGAGCGAAAGCUAGGGGAGCAAACAGGAUUAGAUACCCUGGUAGUCCUAGCUGUAAACGUUGGGCACUAGGUGUGGCGGAUUGAUUGACGUCUGCCGUGCCGUAGCAAACGCAUUAAGUGCCCCGCCUGGGGAGUACGGUCGCAAGGCUAGAACUUAAAUGAAUUGACGGGG
rnacentral:rRNA from 1 species